UAUCCUGCUCAACAUAGCUCAGUCGGUAAAGCAUGAGACGUCCAGGGUGGUGGGUUCAAGCCCCACAUUGGAUAA